CACAACAAUAAGCGGAGGAAAAGAAACUAACAAGGAUUCCCCUAGUAACUGCGAGUGAAGCGGGAAAAGCUCAAAUUUAAAAUCUGGCUUAGCUUCGCCGCCCGAGUUGUAAUCUAGAGAAGCAUUAUCAGCGCUCGCGGCGUGUACAAGUGUCCUGGAAUGGACCAUCAUAGAGGGUGACAAUCCCGUCUUUGACACGGCUGCCUUUAGUGCUAUUGAUGUGCUCUCAACGAGUCGAGUUGUUUGGGAAUGCAGCUCUAAAUGGGUGGUAAGUUCCAUCUAAAGCUAAAUAUUGGCGAGAGACCGAUAGCGAACAAGUACCGUGAGGGAAAGAUGAAAAGAACUUUGGAAAGAGAGUUAAACAGUACGUGAAAUUGCUGAAAGGGAAACGCUUGAAGUCGGUCGCGUUGGCUGGGUAAAUUCGAGAAAUCAACCUUGCUUUCUUGAAAGCUUGGCUUAUUUCCCAGCUGACGGGCCAGCAUCAGUUUUGACCGGUGGAUAAAGGCCAAGGGAAUGUGGCACCUCUUGGGGUGUGUUAUAGCCCUCGGUCAUAUACAUCGGUUGGGACUGAGGAACUCAGCACUUGUUGCUUAGGAUGCUGGCAUAAAGGCUUUAAGCGACCCGUCUUGAAACACGGACCAAGGAGUCUAACAUGCCCGCGAGUGUUUGGGUGGAAAACCCGAGCGCGCAAUGAAAGUGAAAGUUGAGAUCCCUGUCAUGGGGAGCAUCAAUGCCUGGACCAGAGCUUUUGUGAUGGAUCCACGGUAGAGCGUGUAUGUUGGGACCCGAAAGAUGGUGAACUAUGCCUGAAUAGGGUGAAGCCAGAGGAAACUCUGGUGGAGGCUUGUAGCGAUUCUGACGUGCAAAUCGAUCGUCAAAUUUGGGUAUAGGGGCGAAAGACUAAUCGAACCAUCUAUGCG
rnacentral:rRNA from 1 species